AUACGUAGGGUGCGAGCGUUGUCCGGAAUUACUGGGCGUAAAGAGCUCGUAGGUGGUUUGUCGCGUCGUCUGUGAAAUUCCGGGGCUUAACUCCGGGCGUGCAGGCGAUACUGGCAUAACUUGAGUACUGUAGGGGAGACUGGAAUUCCUGGGGUAGCGGUGAAAUGCGCAGAUAUCAGGAGGAACACCGGUGGCGAAGGCGGGUCCCUGGGCAGUAACUGACGCUGAGGAGCGAAAGCAUGGGUAGCGAACAGGAUUAGAUACCCUGGUAGUCCAUGCCGUAAACGGUGGGCGCUAGGUGUAGGGGUCUUCCACGACUUCUGUGCCGUAGCUAACGCAUUAAGCGCCCCGCCUGGGGAGUACGGCCGCAAGGCUAAAACUCAAAUGAAUUGACGGGG
rnacentral:rRNA from 1 species